CAGUAGCCACGGUAAUACAGAGGGUGCGAGCGUUAAUCGGAUUUACUGGGCGUAAAGCGUGCGUAGGCGGCUAAUUGAGUCGGAUGUGAAAUCCCCGAGCUUAACUUGGGAAUUGCAUUCGAUACUGGUUAGCUAGAGUGUGGGAGAGGAUGGUAGAAUUCCAGGUGUAGCGGUGAAAUGCGUAGAGAUCUGGAGGAAUACCGAUGGCGAAGGCAGCCAUCUGGCCUAACACUGACGCUGAGGUACGAAAGCAUGGGGAGCAAACAGGAUUAGAUACCCCGGUAGUCCAUGUCUCUUAUAC
rnacentral:rRNA from 1 species